rnacentral:rRNA from 1 species
AACGAACGCUGGCGGCAUGCCUAAUACAUGCAAGUCGAACGAGAUCUUCGGAUCUAGUGGCGCACGGGUGCGUAACGCGUGGGAAUCUGCCCUUGGGUUCGGAAUAACAGCGGGAAACUGCUGCUAAUACCGGAUGAUGACGUAAGUCCAAAGAUUUAUCGCCCAGGGAUGAGCCCGCGUAGGAUUAGGUAGUUGGUGGGGUAAAGGCCUACCAAGCCUACGAUCCUUAGCUGGUCUGAGAGGAUGAUCAGCCACACUGGGACUGAGACACGGCCCAGAC